rnacentral:rRNA from 1 species
UUUUGAUUCUGGCUCAGGACGAACGCUGGCGGCGUGCCUAACACAUGCAAGUCGAACGAAGCUUGAUUUAUGAUUUCUUCGGAAUGAAUAAUGAUAUGACUGAGUGGCGGACGGGUGAGUAACGCGUGAGCAACCUGCCCUUCGGAACGGGAUAGCGUCUGGAAACGGACGGUAAUACCGUAUAACGUAUUUUUACCGCAUGAUAGAAAUACCAAAACUGAGGUGCCGAAGGAUGGGCUCGCGUCUGAUUAGAUAGUUGGUGGGGUAACGGCCUACCAAGUCGACGAUCAGUAGCCGGACUGAGAGGUUGAACGGCCACAUUGGGACUGAGACACGGCCCAGACUCCUACGGGAGGCAGCAGUGGGGAAUAUUGCACAAUGGGGGAAACCCUGAUGCAGCAACGCCGCGUGAAGGAAGACGGUUUUCGGAUUGUAAACUUCUGUUCUUAGUGAAGAUAAUGACGGUAGCUAAGGAGCAAGCCACGGCUAACUACGUGCCAGCAGCCGCGGUAAUACGUAGGUGGCAAGCGUUGUCCGGAAUUACUGGGUGUAAAGGGAGCGUAGGCGGGAAGCCAAGUCAGCUGUGAAAACUACGGGCUUAACCUGUAGACUGCAGUUGAAACUGGUUUUCUUGAGUGAAGUAGAGGUUGGCGGAAUUCCGAGUGUAGCGGUGAAAUGCGUAGAUAUUCGGAGGAACACCGGUGGCGAAGGCGGCCAACUGGGCUUUAACUGACGCUGAGGCUCGAAAGUGUGGGGAGCAAACAGGAUUAGAUACCCUGGUAGUCCACACUGUAAACGAUGAUAACUAGGUGUGGGGGGUCUGACCCCUUCCGUGCCGCAGCUAACGCAAUAAGUUAUCCACCUGGGGAGUACGACCGCAAGGUUGCAACUCAAAUGAAUUGACGGA